AACGCACAUUGCGCUCUUUGGUAUUCCGGAGAGCAUGCCUGUUUGAGAAUCAGUAAAUUCAUCAACCCAAGGUUCUCGGAAUUUAUUCUGAGAACUGGAAGGCUGGAUCUGGGCCAUUUGCUGCUUCGGCAGCAAUAACCUGAAAUUGAAUGUUACGCUCCUAUGGACUGUGAAGUCUUGGGCAAACGCAUGAAUGAGGUAACUCAGAAGUACGUGAGCCUUUGAGAUGGAUCAAUUCUUUAGUUGGGUGACUCAACUGAUUAACCAGAGUUUGUUGGCGUCAGCCGGCUUAUUCUGAACACUUGGUCUCAAAUCAGGUAGGAAAACCCGCUGAACUUAA
rnacentral:misc_RNA from 1 species